GUUUUACUUGUGUAUGCUACGACUAACGUGUCAUACCACUUGUGUGUAGUGAUUAAAUCGCAAACCGAAGUUGGUAAAAACUUUAUAUAGUCGCAACCAGGUAGUGAAAGCAAACAGCAGUGGUAAUACUUAAAUUCUGGGAAUAAGGAUAGAACGAAGGAAUAACAGACAGGCACGCAUUCCUGAAAUAUUCUGAAACAAGAAUGGCUGAUGCAUCUGUACAUAGCAAAACCAAUGAAGACAAGAUUCGUGAAGU